UAUCUCAGGUUGAUGUCGUAGCCAUCCAGUCCCUAUCAUAUUUGAUAACAAUUGGCAAACCUCUAAACCCCAAACCCACUUUCUCUAGCAUGGUUUUCCAGGCACCGAAGCUCCGUAUCAUCUGCUUGUUAAUAAGCAUUUUCCUCUUGCUCAUAAACCCUUGUGCAACUCAGAUAUUCUUCAACUACACCGAUUUCAGUCAAACAAUCAACAACAAACCUAUAAUCCGAACAGGAAACGCUACGAUAUCAGGUUCAGUGAUCCAACUCACGCCAGAUGAAGUGGACAACUGGGGUCGAGCCACAUAUUCAGAGCAGAUGCAUCUUUGGGAGGAGAAAUCAGAAAAAGUGGCCAACUUCACUUCCAACUUCUCCUUCAUCAUCAAUUCUCAAGGUAAAGACAGAUAUUCAGAUGGGAUCGCGUUCUUCCUCUCAACCCCAGAUUUCCCUGCUCCUAGACCAACAGAUGGCGCCGGCCUCGGCCUUGUGAGCCGCAAUCAAAUGGAACAACCCAUUUUCCUGGCUGCAAAUAAAUUUGUUGCAGUGGAGUUUGAUACAUUUCAAAAUGAAGAAUUUGAUCCACUGAAUUCAGUUCGUGAACACGUUGGUAUCAAUAUCAACAACAUGGAGUCUCAGAUCUCUACCCCAUGGUAUUGUACCAUUAAGGAGAAUAGAACAUAUAGUGCAAGUAUCAAUUAUUCUAGUACGCAAAAUUUAAGCGUUACCUUCACUGGUUUCAAUUAUGAUAACACCACCAUUCAACAGCACCUUUCUUUUGUUAUUAAUUUGAUAGAUCAUUUACCAGAAUCGGUCGAAUUUGGGUUCUCAGCUUCGACAGGAUUGAUUUCUGAGUUGCAUAUUCUUUCCACUUGGUCUUCCGAAUCGACAUCACCUUCUACGAUUCAGCAAUCGCCAGCACCUUCUGUGGAGAAGAAUAAAGAUGAGCCAAAGACAAAAUUGGUGGUGGGCCUGAGUUUAGGUGCAUGCAUUUUAAUUAUUGGUUUGGUGUUGGUUUUCUUUGCGUAUAGGAAAAAGUGUCGUCAAGGGAAGGAGAAAAAGAAGAGGGGCUUGGCUUUGAUCUUUCAAUGGAUGAUGAAUUCGAACGAAGUACUAGACCUAAGAAGUUUUCUUACAAAGAAUUAGUUUCUGCAACGAGCAACUUUGCAGAGGAAAAUAAGCUUGGACAAGGAGGGUUUGAUGGGGUUUAUAAAGUAUAUUUAAGAGUCAUAAAUACCUAUGUUGCUAUUAAGAGAGUUUCAAGGGGAUCUGCACAAGGGAUAAAGGAGUAUAUAUCUGAGGUGAGGAUUACUGGUCAACUCAAGCAUAGAAAUUUGGUGCAAUUAAUUGGUUGGUGCCACGAGAAAAAUGAUCUUCUUCUAAUUUAUGAGUUUAUGUCAAAUGGCAGCUUAGAUUUGCAUCUUUUCAGAGGCAAGAGUUUGUUAACAUGGGUGGUGAGAUACAAUAUUGCUCGAGGCCUAGCAUCAGCACUGCUAUACUUGCAUGAAGAAUGGGAACAAUGUGUAUUACAUAGGGACACAAAGUCAAGCAAUGUCAUGUUGGAUUCAAAUUUCAAUGCAAAGAUUGGAGAUUUGGCCUAGCUAGACUUGUGGACCAUGACAAAAGAUUGCAAACCACGGCUUUGGUGGGGACCAUGGGCUAUAUGGCCCCUGAAUGUGUUAUCUUAGGUGGGGCCAACAAAGAAUCAGAUAUAUAUUAG